UCCGCGUUAUCCGCGGCGGUUACCUUAAAGUGCCCAACUGAAUGCUGGCAAUUAAGGUCGAGGGUUGCGCUCGUUGCGGGACUUAACCCAACAUCUCACGACACGAGCUGACGACAGCCAUGCAACACCUGUCUCUGGUCCAACUAAAUGCCCCUCCUCUUUCAAGGAAAGUCUACCAGGAUGUCAAGGCUUGGUAAGGUUCUUCGCGUAUCUUCGAAUUAAUGGACAUGCUCCACCACUUGUGCGGGUCCCCGUCAAUUCCUUUGAGUUUUAACCUUGCGGCCGUAAUCCCCAGGCGGCAUACUUACCGCGUUAGCUAAGCCACCGAGUUCUGUAGCGAACCCGACAGCGAGUAUGCAUCGUUUACGGCGUGGACUAC
rnacentral:misc_RNA from 1 species